GGAUGUUAGCUGUUUUAAGGUUGCAUGAGAUGGCGGCAAGCACUGUGUUCAUGUCUUUGCUGCUCAAGGUCGUCACAAUGGGCAAAGUUGUAGCACAAAUGACGGUUAGAGAGCCAGAAGACUGC